GCAAACAGGAUUAGAUACCCUGGUAGUCCACGCCGUAAACGAUGUCGAUUUGGAGGUUGUGCCCUUGAGGCGUGGCUUCCGGAGCUAACGCGUUAAAUCGACCGCCUGGGGAGUACGGCCGCAAGGUUAAAACUCAAAUGAAUUGACGGGGGCCCGCACAAGCGGUGGAGCAUGUGGUUUAAUUCGAUGCAACGCGAAGAACCUUACCUGGUCUUGACAUCCACAGAACUUUCCAGAGAUGGAUUGGUGCCUUCGGGAACUGUGAGACAGGUGCUGCAUGGCUGUCGUCAGCUCGUGUUGUGAAAUGUUGGGUUAAGUCCCGCAACGAGCGCAACCCUUAUCCUUUGUUGCCAGCGGUCCGGCCGGGAACUCAAAGGAGACUGCCAGUGAUAAACUGGAGGAAGGUGGGGAUGACGUCAAGUCAUCAUGGCCCUUACGACCAGGGCUACACACGUGCUACAAUGGCAUAUACAAA
rnacentral:rRNA from 1 species